rnacentral:rRNA from 1 species
AACGAACGCUGGCGGCAUGCCUAACACAUGCAAGUCGAACGAGACCUUCGGGUCUAGUGGCGCACGGGUGCGUAACGCGUGGGAACCUGCCCUUAGGUUCGGAAUAACUCCCCGAAAGGGGUGCUAAUACCGGAUAAUGUCUUCGGACCAAAGAUUUAUCGCCUUUGGAUGGGCCCGCGUUGGAUUAGCUAGUUGGUAGGGUAAAAGCCUACCAAGGCGACGAUCCAUAGCUGGUCGGAGAGGAUGAUCAGCCACACUGGGACUGAGACACGGCCCAGACUCCUAGGGAAGGGAGCAGUGGGGAAUAUUAGACAAGGGGCGAAAGCCUAGUGCAGCAAUGCCGCGGGAGUGAUGAAGGCCUUAGGGUUGUAAAGCUCUUUUACCCGGGAUGAUAAUGACAGUACCGGGAGAAUAAGCUCCGGCUAACUCCGUG